GUGGGAUUUUAUGGGGUUUAGGGGGGACUCAGAGGGUUUGAGGGGGUCCUAUAGGGCUGGGGGGGUUCUAAGGGGCUUGGGGGGGCAAUACAGUGGGGUCCUAUGGGGCUGGGGGGUGCCGAUGGGGUUUGGGGGUUCCUAUAGGGUUUGGGGGGCAAUACAGUGGGGUCCUAUGGGGUUGGGGGGCAAUACAGUGGGGUCCUAUGGGGAUGUGGGGGUCCUAUGGGGUUUGGGGGGCAAUACAUGGGGGUCCUAUGGGGAUGGGGGGCUCCUAUGGGGCUGGGGGGAGUCCUAUAGAGUUUAGGGGAGGCAAUACAGUGGGGUCCUAUGGGGUUUGGGGGGUCCUAUUGGAUUUGGGGGGACAAUACAGUGGGGUCCUAUGGGGAUGGGGGGGGCCUAUGGGGUUUGGAGGAGUUAUAUGGGGUUUUGGGGGGUCCUAUGGGGUUUGGGGGGGUCCUAUGGGGUUUGGGGGGCCUAUGGGGUUGGGGGUGUCCUAUGGGGUUUGAGGGUGUUCUAUAGGGUUUGCGGGGUCCUAUGGGGUUUGAGGGUGUUCUAUAGGGUUUGAGAGCAUUCUAUGGGGCUGGGGGGGGUUCUAUGGGGUUUGGGGGGGUCCUAUGGGGCUGUGGGGAGUCCUAUAGAGUUUAGGGGGGGCAAAUACAGUGGGGUCCUAUGGGGUUUGGGGGGUCCUAUUCGAUUUGGGGGGGCAAUACAGUGGGGUCCUAUGGGGAUGGGGGGUGCCUAUGGGGUUUUGGAGGGGGUCCUAUGGGGUUUGGGGGUGUUAUAUGGGGUUUUGGGGGGUCCUAUGGGGCUGUGGG
rnacentral:lncRNA from 1 species